UGGGGAAUCUUCCGCAAUGGGCGAAAGCCUGACGGAGCAACGCCGCGUGAGUGAUGAAGGUCUUCGGAUCGUAAAACUCUGUUUUUAGGGAAGAACAAAUGUGUAAGUAACUAUGCACGUCUUGACGGUACCUAAUCAGAAAGCCACGGCUAACUACGUGCCAGCAGCCGCGGUAAUACGUAGGUGGCAAGCGUUAUCCGGAAUUAUUGGGCGUAAAGCGCGCGUAGGCGGUUUUUUAAGUCUGAUGUGAAAGCCCACGGCUCAACCGUGGAGGGUCAUUGGAAACUGGAAAACUUGAGUGCAGAAGAGGAAAGUGGAAUUCCAUGUGUAGCGGUGAAAUGCGCAGAGAUAUGGAGGAACACCAGUGGCGAAGGCGACUUUCUGGUCUGUAACUGACGCUGAUGUGCGAAAGCGUGGGGAUCAAACAGG
rnacentral:rRNA from 1 species